UACAGAGGGGGCAAGCGUUAUUCGGAAUUAUUGGGCGUAAAGGGCGCGUAGGCGGCCUGACAAGUGGAAGGUGAAAUCCCUCGGCUUAACCGAGGAACUGCCCUCCAAACUGUUUGGCUUGAGACCGGGAGAGGUGAGUGGAAUUCCCAGUGUAGCGGUGAAAUGCGUAGAUAUCGGGAGGAACACCAGAGGCGAAGGCGGGUUACUGGGCUGAUACUGACGCUGAUGCGCGAAAGCUAGGGGAGCAAACGGG
rnacentral:rRNA from 1 species